AGAGCCCUAUGGCACCCUAUCCCCUAUAUAGUGCACUACUUUAGACCAGAGCCCUAUGGCACCCUAUCCCCUAUAUAGUGCACUACUUUAGACCAGAGCCCUAUGGCACCCUAUUCCCUAUAUAGUGCACUACUUUAGACCAGAGCCCUAUGGCACCCUAUUCCCUAUAUAGUGCACUACUUUUAGACCAGAGCCCUAUGGCACCCUAUUCCCUAUAUAGUGCACUACUUUAGACCAGAGCCCUAUGGCACCCUAUUCCCUAUAUAGUGCACUACUUUAGACCAGAGCCCUAUGGCACCCUAUUUCCCUAUAUAGUGCACUACUUUUGACCAGAGCCCUAUGGCACCCUAUUCCCUAUAUAGUGCACUACUUUAGACCAGAGCCCUAUGGCACCCUAUCCCCUAUAUAGUGCACUACUUUAGACCAGAGCCCUAUGGCACCCUAUUCCCUAUAUAGUGCACUACUUCAGACCAGAGCCCUAUGGCACCCUAUUCCCUAUAGUGCACUACUUUAGACCAGAGCCCUAUGGCACCCUAUUCCCUAUAUAGUGCACUACUUCAGACCAGAGCCCUAUUCCCCUAUAUAGUGCACUACUUUAGACCAGAGCCCUAUGGCGCCCUAUUCCCUAUUUAUAGUGCACUACUUUUUUUUAGUUUGUGAUUUGAGACAGCCUGUGUUAUAUACUGAUUCCACGAGACAGACAGAAACCAUUGGACUGACAGAUUGUUCCAAAGGCAAAAUCAAGAGGCCUUAACUCCGCCAAAAUAAGGCUCUAGAUUCAAUCUGUAGCGCUGAAGUUCAAGGUAAAGGUUAUUUCAGAUUGAGUCUACAUACGCAGCACCGUUUACCGUGAAUACAGUCGUGGCCAAAAGCUCUGAGAAUGACACAAAUAUUCAUUUGUGGAGUACAUGCAAAUUGCCAUCAUACAAACUGAGGCAGCAGACUUUGUGAAAAUUAAUAUUUGUGUCAUUCUCAAAACUUUUGGCCACGACUGUACAAUCUUCGAUAACAUAAGAGCACUGCCUUUGAACUUCCAUCGUGCCGUAGAGCAGCUCUUCAGAGCUACGGAUUGAAUCCAGCCCUUAGAUUGUAGAUUUUGUAUUUAUUUUUUAUACACUUGAUUAAAAACUGUGAUUUUUUUACAAAUCUACCGGGCAGGCAGGCGGGCAGAUUAUUGUUUUAGUUGUUGAGUAACUUAAAGUCAAGUGUGAAAACACACAAACAAUAUGCAAAUGUUAUUAUUCAUGUUAUUGGCAAAUCUGUUUGAGGUAGAGAAGUCACAACACCAUGUCACAUAAAAUACAUAUUCCUUGUGAAGGAACAUCAUGUCACCUGGUACUUCCUGUUUAUAGCCAUGUUAUUAUCUGGUACUUCCUGUUUAUAGCCAAGUUAUUAUCUGGUACUUCCUGUUUAUAGCCAUGUUAUUACCUGGUACUUCCUGUUUAUAGCCAUGUUAUUACCUGGUACUUCCUGUAUAUGGCCAUGGUACUUCCUGUAUAUGGCCAUGGUACUUCCUGUAUAUGGCCAUGGUACUUCCUGUAUAUGGCCAUGGUACUUCCUGUAUAUGGCCAUGGUACUUCCUGUAUAUGGCCAUGGUACUUCCUGUAUAUGGCCAUGGUACUUCCUGUAUAUGGCCAUGGUACUUCCUGUAUAUGGCCAUGGUACUUCCUGUAUAUAGCCAUGGUACUUCCUGUAUAUAGCCAUGGUACUUCCUGUAUAUAGCCAUGGUACUUCCUGUAUAUAGCCAUGGUACUUCCUGUAUAUAGCCAUGGUACUUCCUGUAUAUAGCCAUGGUACUUCCUGUAUAUAGCCAUGGUACUUCCUGUAUAUAGCCAUGUGAUUUUGACAGGUUAUUGUCAUUACUUGUGUCACUAUAUUGUUGGAAAUGGAGUCAGAAGUAAGCACUUCACGGUUAGUCUGCACCUGUUGUUUAUGAAUCAUUUGACAAAUACAUUUUGAUUUGAAGACUUUAGAUAUAUUUGAUGCUACGUGCACACACACACACACACACACACACACACACACACAAAAUAGACCCAUGUUUCUGGGUUAGGAAUAGUAGCACAAUGUGUUAAAAAUGGCAAAUUGUCUUCUGAUAUUUGUUCAAAAUGCUCAAAAGAAUUAAUUUAUUUCCAAGUUGCAGCUUCUGAUUUAUGCAUUUUCUGACAAUGUCACAUUUCACUCCUCCUCGGGGAGGUUGGAACAUUUCACUCCUCCUCGGGGAGGUUGGAACAUUUCACUCCUCCUCGGGGAGGUUGGAACAUUUCACUCCUCCUCGGGGAGGUUGGAACAUUUCACUCCUCCUCGGGGAGGUUGGAACAUUUCACUCCUCCUCGGGGAGGUUGGAACAUUUCACUCCUCCUCGGGGAGGUUGGAACAUUUCACUCCUCCUCGGGGAGGUUGGAACAUUUCACUCCUCCUCGGGGAGGUUGGAACAUUUCACUCCUCCUCGGGGAGGUUGGAACAUUUCACUCCUCCUCGGGGAGGUUGGAACAUUUCACUCCUCCUCGGGGAGGUUGGAACAUUUCACUCCUCCUCGGGGAGGUUGGAACAUUUCACUCCUCCUCGGGGAGGUUGGAACAUUUCACUCCUCCUCGGGGAGGUUGGAACAUUUCACUCCUCCUCGGGGAGGUUGGAACAUUUCACUCCUCCUCGGGGAGGUUGGAACAUUUCACUCCUCCUCGGGGAGGUUGGAACAUUUCACUCCUCCUCGGGGAGGUUGGAACAUUUCACUCCUUGAGACGAAGUCACACGUUGUCUGUUUGAUUUAGAGAUAAUACCUGAGAUGUAUUAGGACUUCUUCAAGAGGAUAAUACCUGAGAUGUAUUAGGACUUCUUCAAGAGGAUAAUACCCGAGAUGUAUUAGGACUUCUUCAAGAGGAUAAUACCCGAGAUGUAUUAGGACCGCCAACCAGGUUUGCUGUUCAUUUCAGCAAUAUGAGAUGGGAGCUACAUUCACUCGUGGUUCUGUACAAUACUGUACAUUUACAUUAAUUUGUAAUUUCCAACACAAUGUUUCUUAUAAAAACCAGAAGUGACGCAGUAAGUCUUUCCUCAACUCUUAGCCAAGAGAGACUUAUGAAUAUCAGCCCUGUGAUAAAUGAAGAGCAAAAAAUGUGCCGCUCUGUUGAGGUCUGCAGUUUAACAUGCUGACGAGCCC